GGAAUAUUGGUCAAUGGACGAGAGUCUGAACCAGCCAAGUAGCGUGAAGGAUGACUGCCCUAUGGGUUGUAAACUUCUUUUAUAUGGGAAUAAAACAGGGUAUGCAUACCCUCUUGUAUGUACCAUAUGAAUAAGGAUCGACUAACUCCGUGCCAGCAGCCGCGGUAAUACGGAGGAUCCGAGCGUUAUCCGGAUUUAUUGGGUUUAAAGGGAGCGUAGGUGGAUUGUUAAGUCAGUUGUGAAAGUUUGCGGCUCAACCGUAAAAUUGCAGUUGAAACUGGGGGCCUUGAGUGGGCGAGAAGAAGGCGGAAUGCGUGGUGUAGCGGUGAAAUGCAUAGAUAUCACGCAGAACCCCGAUUGCGAAGGCAGCCUUCCGGCGCCCUACUGACGCUGAGGCACGAAAGUGCGGGGAUCGAACAGG
rnacentral:rRNA from 1 species